rnacentral:rRNA from 1 species
AGGUGCGAUCAUAUCAGCAAUAAUGCAUCGGAUCUCAUCGGAACAUCGAAGUUAAGUGUGCUUGGGCGAGAGCAGUACUAGGAUGGGUGACCUCUUGGGAAGUCCUCGUGUUUCACCCU